AAUUUGGAGGUCUAGAACAGAGAACACCCCAUAAUGUUUGGGAGUUCUUAGUCUAAUAGAUGAAACCUCUUUGAUUUGCAGCUAUUUCGUCGAAGUCAACGGUGGAAUCAUCUUCUCAACCCAUCAUUCCGGUUCGCUGCCCAGAACUAGAUUACAUUGAUUUGGAGGCCCAACGAAACGGGGAGGCUCAUGUCCCGGAGUGAUUGCUUGAUUAUUUGAGGUUUCGUUCCUGGACUUCACUAUCUCUUUUCUUGAUCAUUCGAGGCUUCUGAGAGUUGACAGAGAUGCCGAGGACCAGAUCCAUGUCUAUUGGUAGAGAGGAGGCAGUCCCCUGGGCAGUUGUUGAGACCCCAACUAGGGGUAGAGGUAGGGGCUAAGUGAGCGGAGGAGGCCAUGGAGCGGUUGUUGGAAAGGGUCGUGCCAGAGGAGCGACACCUGCUUAAGGUCGUGCUAGAGAGGCCUCCCCAGAGCACAGGUUGAGAUUGUAACACCCAAAAUAUUUCUACGCCAAGACCUGAAGCAUUUUUCAUGUAUGUAUAGGAUCGUACUCGAUGACUUUAAAGUGCAUUCAUGAGUUAGGAUCAAUUCCUAAGUAAUUCAAGGGUAUUAUAUGUGAUUUAGGGUCAUAAGGGAUCCCUAAAACCAAGCCAAGUCCAAAGAACUAGUCUCGGCUAAGUUUCCGAAUGAGUUCGUAUAAGGGUCAACUUCCAAUUACCAUAUCUCUUUGAAUAUAACGAACUGGGUGGCCCAUGACCUACCAAAUUAAAGUUCUUUGUGUCUUCUUUCCAACUCCACCGAGAUUACAAUUGUUGGAGUUCGGAGUAAAGAGUUAUGACCAUUUUACCACAGACUAUCUCUACAGAAAUUUCAGGCAAACUAGCCUCAGUAGUUUGGGUGCUGGCGCGUCGUGCCAGCUAUAGCGCCAUCAGUUUUUUGGCCUAUUUUCCAGAUUUUAGGGUCAUUUUAGCCAUUUCUUGAGUUGUACCCAAAGUGAGGUCGUUUUGGGGACUGAAUUGACCCUAUCUAAAGAUCCUAAACCUUCUAAACCUCUUAUUUCUCACAAUUAGACUCAAUAUACUAAACUCCUCUCCUCUCAAAAUCUCCCAAGAGCUUCAAGGCAAGGUUAGGUUUUCCAAUUCAAGACAUUCAAGUCUCAAUUCUUCCUCAAGUUCUCAUAGAGAUUUUAUGUCCCCAAGGUAUGUGGGUUUUCAUCCAUGGGUUCUUCCACCCAUGGAGCCCAAAUGUUUUUCUCAACUUUGUAUAUAUAUUCUAAAUGAUGAAAUCUUAUGGUAUUUUACAUAA